AGAAAGGACUCUGGGGUUUUACACUGUU
rnacentral:piRNA from 1 species